CGAAAUGAGAUUUGCAGAGAAAAAGGGAGGCGAUUCGCGUUGCAGAUUAAUAUGCAACAAAUUUUCAUUGAGCUAAACUUCGAUUCAUAUUUGCAGGUUAUCAAGCAUGUGUCGUAAGGUCAUGUACGCCAUUUUGUAUUAUUGUGAUCAACAUAGACAAAGAGGGUAUUACACCAUACCAAUAUAGAUUGAUUUUUGUUGGUAAACAACUUGAAGAUGCGCAUAUUAGAUGAUUACAAUAUCCAGGAAGAAUCGACUAUGCGUCUUGUUUUGAACAUACAAGGAAGAAUUAUUUAACCGUAUUUGAUGGCUUUGGCUAUGACAAGAUGAUCCGUCGCAAGUUGAAGAUUAUGAAGUUGAUAUGUCUAAGAACGGAUAAAAUCUUUAUGGAUAGUCUCAUAUCCAUGACUCCACCUGUAAGAUGAAGAAAUCAGCACAUCAAAAUUACUUGGGAGAAACAAAAAAGACAUAUGACGUCCCCUCCUUGAUGAUUUACUAUUCUUUUUGCUUACGAUUUAGUAGUUUCUGUUUUCAUGAGUUAUGUUUUUUUUUCCUAGCUUGUUA